rnacentral:misc_RNA from 1 species
GAUGAAGAACGUAGCGAAAUGCGAUAAGUAGUGUGAAUUGCAGAAUUCAGUGAAUCAUCGAAUCUUUGAACGCACAUUGCGCCUCCUGGUAGUCCGGGAGGCAUGCCUGUUCGGGCGUCACCAAAUCCAACUCAAGCGGUUUUGCGCUUGGUCGUGGCGGAAGAGUCGGUCUGGUUGCCGUCUCCCCUCCGAAAAUCAACGGCGGAAAGUCACUGGCAGUCAGCGUAGUAGUAUCGUUCGCCGAACAUCCAGUGGCAUUCCUGCCGACGUACCCCCACAAUUCUCGUGAUUGACCUCGGAUCAGGUAGGGAUACCCGCUGAACUUAAGCAUAUCAAUAAGCGGAGGA